rnacentral:pre_miRNA from 1 species
UAUGUGUGAGUGUGUGUGUGUGUGUGUGUGUAUUUAUAUAUAUAUAUAUAAAUACAUACACUCACACACACACACGCACAUA